rnacentral:rRNA from 1 species
GAUGAACGCUGGCGGCGUGCCUAAUACAUGCAAGUCGAGCGAACAGACGAGGAGCUUGCUCCUCUGACGUUAGCGGCGGACGGGUGAGUAACACGUGGAUAACCUACCUAUAAGACUGGGAUAACUUCGGGAAACCGGAGCUAAUACCGGAGAAUAUAUUGAACCGCAUGGUUCAAUAGUGAAAGACGGUUUUGCUGUCACUUAUAGAUGGAUCCGCGCCGCAUUAGCUAGUUGGUAAGGUAACGGCCUACCAAGGCAACGAUGCGUAGCCGACCGGAGUGGGGGAUAGGCCACACUGGAACUGAGACACGGUCCAGACUCCUACGGGAGGCAGCAGUAGGGAAUCGUCCGCAAUGGGCGAAAGCCUGACGGAGCAACGCCGCGUGAGUGAUGAAGGUCUUCGGAUCGUAAAACUCUGUUAUUAGGGAAGAACAAAUGUGUAAGUAACUAUGCACGUCUUGACGGUACCUAAUCAGAAAGCCACGGCUAACUACGUG